rnacentral:snRNA from 1 species
AAACUUCCCUGGCAGGGGAGACACCGUGAUCAUGAAGGUGGUUUUCCCAGGUUUAUCCCUUGCCCCCCGGAUGUGCUGACCCCUGUGAUUUCCCCAAGUUUGGAAAAUUCAACUGCAUAAUUUGUGGUAGUGGAGUCCGUGUUCACGCUCUUCCC